rnacentral:lncRNA from 1 species
GAAAAUUUUAUCGCUAACAUAUAAAUUAUUGACAAAAAUGGCAAAUUGAACUACAAAUAUUCACUGAGAGACAGAUACAGACCAAAAAUAAUUGGAAUUAGGAAAUAAUAAACAAAUUCUUAACCAAAACGAAGACUAUUCAACUAUAAAAAGGGGAACUCUAUCAAACGUCCAGUUUUAUGUGACAAUAGAUGAUACAUUCACUUAAAUACAAUAUCAAAUUAUUCAUUUAAUUAUAUCUAUUAAAUAUAAUCAUUUGUACUUGUGGUGUAAGACCAUUUGUCCUAGAUAUUAUUAUUCUUUCAAGAAAAAGCAACACAGAGAAAAGGAAAAAGAGAAUGGCGAGCUACAGUAUGAUACAAAUUCCUCUUCCCAUUUCCAUGAAAUUUCAUGAACAAAAAUAAAAAUUAGGGAUUAAGAGUCUAAAUUAAUUGACCCUCUUCUAUACAUGUAAUCUUUGUAUAAUCCACUAAAAUUAAACAAAAGAAUUUAUCCAAUUCGUCUAAAAACAAAGAAAAUCAGCAAGUGAAUCACAUAAAUUCUCAAUCAAAUAAAUAUAAGCCAAAUAGUAAUCAAAACAGGGAACUCUCUUGACAACAGAUUAUAUGCAGGACCAAAACAAAAGAUUCAGGAGGAAGCAAGCAGAUCGCAAGGAGACUUGAGCAUAAAAUUCUGGAAUCUAACAAAAUACUUCUUGAGAGAAUUGAUACAUAAUUAAACAGAUCCAAUAUCAAUGAAAGAUUAUCAACACUCCCCUAGAACUUUCUUUCAAUAACUGAAAUAAAUUAUAAAAUUGAUCAACACAUCAGGUAACAAAACUAUGCUGCAAGAACGGAUAGAUCUACUGUAAAAUUUAAAACAGAAAAACUCGAAAUGUAUUACUUUUCAAACAGCCAAUUUGAAAGGAAAAAUUAUUACGAAUUCGGAACGAAAUUCAAAAGAAGACAAGAGAAGGCUGAAAUACCUUGAAAGGAAAAUUUGAGAACGCUUUACAGAAUUGAUUAGAAGAGAAAUCUGUAUUUGAUGAUCUAUCUGCACAAACGAGGGCAU